rnacentral:sRNA from 1 species
CAUGCCCCUUAUACGCUGGGCUACACACGUGCUACAAUGGGUAGUACAGAGAGUCGCAAAGCCGUGAGGUGGAGCUAAUCUCAGAAAACUAUUCUUAGUUCGGAUUGUACUCUGCAACUCGAGUACAUGAAGUUGGAAUCGCUAGUAAUCGCGAAUCAGCAAUGUCGCGGUGAAUACGUUCUCGGGUCUUGUACACACCGCCCGUCACACCACGAGAGUUGGUUGCACCUGAAGUAGCAGGCCUAACCGUAAGGAGGGAUGCUCCGAGGGUGUGAUUAGCGAUUGGGGUGAAGUCGUAACAAGGUAUCCGUACGGGAACGUGCGGAUGGAUCACCUCCUUUCUAAGGAGUAUAAGUCUUUCUCUAUUCUAUUGGUAAUGUUCUUUACAUUACUUCUGAACAUUGGAAACUAUAUAGUAGAACAAACAAGAAAAAAAUUAACUCUAACAAUUUCUUAGAGUUAGCUGUCAAAAAAUAGAUUAAAAUAAUUAAGGGCACACAAAGGAUGCCUUGGUAGUAAGAGCCGAUGAAGGACGUGGUAAGCUGCGAUAAGCCUAG